rnacentral:rRNA from 1 species
UAAAAAGCUUCAAACUGGGAUUAGAUACCCCACUAUGCUCAGUUGUAAACCUAGACGUUUAAUCACAACAGACGUCCGCCAGGGUACUACGAGCGUCAGCUUAAAACCCAAAGGACUUGGCGGUGCCUCAGACCCCCCUAGAGGAGCCUGUUCUAGAACCGAUAACCCCCGUUAAACCUCACCAUUUCUAGUCAACCCCGCCUAUAUACCGCCGUCGUCAGCUUACCCUGUGAAGGACCAAUAGUAAGCAAAAUGAACAUAGUCCAAAACGUCAGGUCGAGGUGUAGCGCACGAAGUGGGAAGAAAUGGGCUACAUUUUCUAAUAUAGAAUAAUACGAAUAGCACCAUGAAAAAAUGCUUGAAGGAGGAUUUAGUAGUAAAAAGGAAACAGAGUGUCCUUUUGAACCCGGCUCUGAGGCGCGUACACACCGCCCGUCACCCUCUGCAGUCAAA